rnacentral:ncRNA from 1 species
UGCUGAAACUCUGGAGAGUGAUGAAGACUUUUGCGGUCGACAUCCACCGAUGGGGCAAAUCUCUCAGGUAUCGAGGACAGAGGGGUGAAA